rnacentral:misc_RNA from 1 species
GAUGCAGUACUGUGUUUCAUGUGCAAUUCACUCCAAGGUGGUUAGAGUCCGCUCUCGUACUGAUAGGAGAGUUCGCGAGCCUCCACAGCGUUUCAGGCGCCCAAGGGAUGAUCUUCCAAAGACAGGACAAGCUCCACGCCCCGCUGGAGGACCCCCUGCUGCUCCACGCACUUAAAUUAUUAGGAUUCAGGUUUUGGUUAAUCUGAUAGUUAUGGCGUGUUUUACAUGUGGUGGUUUUGACAGUGUACUGUUUUCAUUUAGAUAAUGGGACAUAUUACCAUGUUAUGGAAUUAAAUUUUGAAUGGAAACCAGAUAUUUAAGUUUUCUUAAUGGACGACUUUUAAUUUGUGUUUCUGAUAACUUGCCAACGUCUGGC